GGCAUAAAGUAGGCCAAUUCUUAUGUGGGAUAAGUCUUUUGGCCUUUCAAAAUGCUGCUAGGUUUUUUGUGGACUCGUUGAAAAGAAGAAUGCUAAAGCAUGCCUUUCAAAGUGUGAAGAGAGCAGUGACCACAAGUACAAAUGCGGCAAAGGAGAAAGUGGAUUGUGUGGUGAUAGGGGCUGGCGUGGUGGGAAUAGCAAUUGCAAGAGAGCUAGCCUUAAAGGGAAGAGAAGUUCUGGUUCUUGAUUCAGCUCCCACCUUCGGCACCGGCACUAGUUCUCGCAACAGUGAAGUCAUUCACGCUGGCAUCUAUUACCCUCACAAUUCUCUCAAGGCAAUUUUCUGUUUAAGGGGAAGAGAAUUGUUGUACAAGUACUGCUCCGAACAUGGGGUUCCUCAUAAACAGAUUGGUAAACUCAUAGUUGCUACUCGACCUUUGGAGAUUCCAAAGUUGAACAAUCUGAUGAAGUGUGGAACUCAAAAUGGUGUUGAUAACCUCAGGAUGUUGGAAGGUUUUGAAGCAAUGAAAAUGGAACCUGAAUUGCAAUGUGUGAAGGCAUUAUUAUCACCAGCUUCUGGGAUUGUUGAUAGUCAUUCCCUGAUGCUAUCUUUAGUGGGGGAAGCUGAAAAUAGAAGAACUACUUUCUCAUACAAUACUACAGUCAUUGGUGGCCAUCAUGAAGGAAAUUGUAUGCACCUUCAUAUAUCUGAAAGUAAAAAUGUUGGAAACUGGAAUGGGGAAUCUCAGUUGCAACCAGAGUUGAUUCUUAUUCCUAGGUUUGUGGUAAACUCUGCCGGCCUAAGUGCCGUGGUCCUUGCAAAAAGAUUUAAUGGUCUAAAAUCUGGUGUUAUUCCUCCUGCAUAUUAUGCUCGUGGUUGCUACUUUACCCUUGCAAACACUAAGGCCACUCCUUUCAAAUAUUUGAUAUAUCCUAUACCAGAGGACGGUGGCCUUGGAGUGCAUGUUACUCUGGAUCUGGAUGGUCAGGUGAAGUUUGGCCCAGAUGUUGAGUGGAUUGAUGGCAUAGAUGACAUAUGGAGCUUCAUGAACAAGUUUGACUACUCUGUAAAUGUAAAUCAUGUUGAAAGAUUUUAUCCAGAGAUUAGAAAGUACUACCCUAAACUGAGCAAUGGAGCUUUAGAGCCAGGUUAUGCAGGGAUUCGACCAAAACUUUCAGGACCUGGACAACCUCCUGCUGAUUUUGUAAUACAGGAUUUGUUCUUGAAGAGGAUGAUUGAAAAAGCUGAAUUACGAUCUGGUUUAUACAUUCUAAAAGCGGAAUCUGCCUUCCAUUCAUAAUGUCAUUCCACCAAGCAAGUAGUUACUCAAAGUCACUCUAGGACUAGUUCAAAUAAAGAAAGUACUGUGAUGUUAUGGCAUUACAGAAUACGUAGCAGCCAGAUUCUUGAGAUGAUGUUGACAGUCUACACUUCAAGAUUAAUCUUUUCCUGCAUGAAUAAUAAUUUUGAUCAAUUCUCAAGUCGAAACACUUAUUGAGAAGACUUGGGAUGUUUACUAAUUCAGAUGUACUUGGCUUCUCCCUUCUACUUCUCUGUAGGAAGAAGCAAUUUCCUGUAAAUGGAUAAUAUAAGAUGGAAGAUAGCAUUCGGAUUGAGAUUUUA